AACGAACGCUGGCGGCGUGCCUAAUACAUGCAAGUCGCACGAGAAAGUCCUUCGGAUGAGUAUAGUGGCGCACGGGUGAGUAAUACAUAGGAACAUACCAUUUGGUGGGAAUAACCACGGGAAACUGUGGCUAAUACCGCAUGGUGACGUGAGUCUAAAGAGGGCCUCUACUUGUAAGCUCUCGCCAAAUGAGUGGCCUAUGUCCCAUUAGCUAGUUGGCAGGGUAAUGGCCUACCAAGGCAACGAUGGGUAGCUGGUCUGAGAGGAUGAUCAGCCACACUGGGACUGAGACACGGCCCAGACUCCUACGGGAGGCAGCAGUAGGGAAUUUUGCACAAUGGGCGCAAGCCUGAUGCAGCAACGCCG
rnacentral:rRNA from 1 species